rnacentral:rRNA from 1 species
UUAGAGUUUGAUCCUGGCUCAGGACGAACGCUGGCGGCGUGCCUAACACAUGCAAGUCGAGCGAAUGAAGUUCCUUCGGGAACGGAUUUAGCGGCGGACGGGUGAGUAACACGUGGGCAACCUGCCUCAUAGAGGGGAAUAGCCUUCCGAAAGGGAGAUUAAUACCGCAUAAGAUUGUAGUACCGCAUGGUACAGCAAUUAAAGGAGCAAUCCGCUAUGAGAUGGGCCCGCGGCGCAUUAGCUAGUUGGUGAGGUAACGGCUCACCAAGGCGACGAUGCGUAGCCGACCUGAGAGGGUGAUCGGCCACAUUGGGACUGAGACACGGCCCAGACUCCUACGGGAGGCAGCAGUGGGGAAUAUUGCACAAUGGGGGAAACCCUGAUGCAGCAACGCCGCGUGAGUGAUGACGGCCUUCGGGUUGUAAAGCUCUGUCUUCAGGCACGAUAAUGACGGUACCUGAGGAGGAAGCCACGGCUAACUACGUGCCAGCAGCCGCGGUAAUACGUAGGUGGCGAGCGUUGUCCGGAUUUACUGGGCGUAAAGGGAGCGUAGGCGGAUUUUUAAGUGAGAUGUGAAAUACUCGGGCUUAACCUGAGUGCUGCAUUUCAACUGGAAGUUCUAGAGUGCAGGAAAGAAGAAGGGAAUUCCCUAGUGUAGCGGGGAAAUGCCGAGAGAUUAAAGAAGAAACACCGGGGGCGAAGGCCCCUCUCUUGGACUGAAACUGAACCCUGAAAGUUCAAAAAGCGUGGGGGGACCCAAAAAGGGA